CAAAAACAUUUUUUAAUGACUUUUAUAUUAAAUAAAGCCUGCUCCUUGUGAAUAAAAAGCCGCAGAAAAUUUACUGUGCUAAGGUAGCAUAAUCACUUGUCUUUUAAUUUAAGACUAGAAUGAACGGCAUAACACUUAAUUAUUUUUCUUAACUAUAACCCUCUAACUUUCAAUAAAAAUUAAAAUAUUUUUAUUCUUAUAAAAGACGACAAGACCCUAUAGAACUUCACUGUAGUUGAGCUGGGGAAGCUUAAUAAUAAUAAUCUUAUAUUACCCCUUUCAAUAAAUAACCUUUAAAAAGAAAGUAAUCAAGUUACCUUAGGGAUAACAGCGUUAUAUAUUUUAAAAGCUCAUAUUAAUAAAUCUAUAUACGACCUCGAUGUUGAAUUAAUUUUACUCCCCUAUGCAAGAAUAGGAAUAGUAAGUCUGUUCGACUUUUUAAAAAUUACAUGAUCUGAGUUCAAACCGG
rnacentral:rRNA from 1 species